rnacentral:rRNA from 1 species
UACGUAGGGUGCAGGCGUUAAUCGGAAUUACUGGGCGUAAAGCGUGCGCAGGCGGUUUCUUAAGUCAGAUGUGAAAGCCCCGGGCUUAACCUGGGAACUGCGUUUGAAACUGGGAGACUUGAGUGUGGCAGAGGGGGGUGGAAUUCCACGUGUAGCGGUGAAAUGCGUAGAGAUGUGGAGGAACACCGAUGGCGAAGGCAGCCUCCUGGGCCAACACUGACGCUCAUGCACGAAAGCGUGGGGAGCAAACAGG